GGCCAGUGCAGCUGAUCAUUCCUGUCUGGACUUUCUUCUGUGAACAGUGAUCCAGUCUCAAGGGUCUGCACUAACUGGCCACUCGCUCUGGCAAGAGUGGUCCCCCGUGGUGUCCCUGUACCUAGGGAAGUGAUUGGAAACUACUGGGAAGGAAGGGACACCAGAAAGUAGGGUGGGGGCCAAUUUCACCUGCCUUGAAAGCAUUCUCGGGGUCAGCACCACGGGCAGCUCCUGCCAGAUCCUGUGGAUCCCUUGUGAAGUCCACGCUGGCCCGGACGAUGCAGAAUUUCCAGCUGCUGAAAUUUAUCAGGACCAGACAGUUCUCGGUGGCCCUGGCUACAUUUGGGGUGCUCCCCUCUGCUCUCCUGGACAGAGGAUUGGAAGCUGCUGUGGUUUGUGAAUACGGUCCUCCAUCACCAGUCUCUCCAGGCCAUCUCUGAUCUUCAAAGCAAUGGACAAACAUUACAGUGUGAUUUUGCGGUAGAUAAGUCCAAAGAAUCCCUGCACCGUCUGGCACGGAGGCUGAGGCUGGGGUCAUUAUAGUGGUGAUGGGUGACUGGUGUGUUAAUUGACAAGUACUAUUCAUCAGAGCUGCAGACUCUUACCUGGAAAGGUGCCCUCUGUGGCGGGCAGGGGGAUUCCUCCUGGUGCGCCUGCAGGUCUGUUUCCAGGCACUCUAAUGCCAGUGGUUCUGCUGCUUGGAUCGUGCAAGUGUGAGUCCUGACCAGGGCUCGUAGGAAGUAAUUAUUCAACAUCUGCACAGCUAUCUGUCAGUCCGUGGGUCAGCUGGCCUCUGGACAUUGCUGUCUGACCCCAUUUUCCACUAAUGAAUAUGUCAGUGAUGUGUGGAGACAUUCAAGGAUCAUUUUCCGAUUUUGAAAGCUUUAGAUGUUUAAUAAGGAUUUUCAGCAGUUUGAAAAGAUUUAGCCAGCACAGUGGAGUCCAACAGCUCCCGUCAUCUGCCUCACUGGCCCAUAAGCACAGAUCACAGCUUGUCAGGGUGUCUUGAUGCUCCCCCAGCCACAAUGAGGGUGCUUCCAAAGCAGGACCAAUCAGACAACCCACAGCACCUAGCCCAGUGCUUAUUUCUCUUUCCUUUCAUUGCAAUUUUUGUUAAUACUGAUUAAUUCUCAAGAGAAAGUUCCUCUGGAAAGAAUAGUCCCAGAAAUGUCAGGCAUAAAAGCUGGAAUGGUUAUGUUGAUGGCAGGUGUCUGAUGUAUUAAUUGUGAAGUGAAAAGUAUCAUAGCCGCUGACUCAUCUUCUGCAGAGUCUUUGUGGUUCCUCUGUGACUGUGAAACUCUCCCAUCCCGGGCAGAGAGCGAAGGACAUGCUAAAUGAUGCGGGGCCACAGGGGAGCCCCAACCCUCCUGAAAUUGAGAUGGUUAGUUAGGGCAUAGCCAGCAUCUCCUCUCUAUUCCUUAAACUGUUGAUUGGAUCAGGUGGUGAACUGAGCUUGCAAGAAAGCAAGAGCUUCCUUGAUUGUACAACGUCACCUGGCCUCCUGGGCCCGAGUCUUCUCACCUCUCAAGCAGGGGAGCUGCCUUCGGUUAUCUCUACAAUCCCUUGUGGCACCCACAUCCUGUGAUUUUGAUGUGGCCCCUGGACCCACGGACAUGUCUAUGUCAGCAAAUUGUGUUUCUCCUGAACCGCUGGUCUGCACGCAUCUGGGAUGGCCAUGACUGUUGGUUGAAUGUGUGUCUGUUUUCUCACUGGAUGUGGGAAAGCUCGGAGCUGGGAGCUCACAGCGCACGCCAUGGUAUGGACAAACCUCAGCCCUGGCUUUGUCUAGCUUUUCCACCUUUACUCUCCCUUUGACCCAGCUUUCUUACAUUCUCUUCUUGAAAUUUAAAAUGGAUUAAUUUAUGUUUUGAGUAAGUAAUGCAUUUAUAUGCUUCAUACAUUUAAACAUUAUGAAAUGGUCGUGUUUGAAAAGACUCCCUCCCAUUUCUGUUCCAUUCUCCUGGCUCCCACUCCCAACACCCACCGGUAACCAUGGUUAGAAGUUUCUAGACACUCUCCCUUCCAGGGAACCUUUAGGCAUACACAUGUAUAGAAAUACAUAUUGUGCACAUGUAUUUACAGACAGUUAUGUGUUUCUCUCCCCUUCCCCCACAAGUAUAUCAUGCCAUACACAUCGUUCUGCAACUUAUUUUUUUCAUUUAUCAAUAAAUCUUGCAUAUUUUUUCAAAUCAAUAUAUAAAAUUCUCC
rnacentral:lncRNA from 1 species